AUGAACGCUGGCGGCGUGCCUAAUACAUGCAAGUCGAGCGAACAGACGAGGAGCUUGCUCCUUUGACGUUAGCGGCGGACGGGUGAGUAACACGUGGGUAACCUACCUAUAAGACUGGGAUAACUUCGGGAAACCGGAGCUAAUACCGGAUAAUAUUUCGAACCGCAUGGUUCGAUAGUGAAAGAUGGCUUUGCUAUCACUUAUAGAUGGACCUGCGCCGUAUUAGCUAGUUGGUAAGGUAACGGCUUACCAAGGCAACGAUACGUAGCCGACCUGAGAGGGUGAUCGGCCACACUGGAACUGAGACACGGUCCAGACUCCUACGGGAGGCAGCAGUAGGGAAUCUUCCGCAAUGGGCGAAAGCCUGACGGAGCAACGCCGCGUGAGUGAUGAAGGUCUUCGGAUCGUAAAACUCUGUUAUUAGGGAAGAAUAAACGUGUAAGUAACUGUGCACGUCUUGACGGUACCUAAUCAGAAAGCCACGGCUAACUACGUG
rnacentral:rRNA from 1 species